CAGGAGGCACCACAUCUGCUUUUCAAAGAUGUACGGUUGUGUAAUUGUGCAUCUGUUUGCAGCCGUUUUUAUGUGUGAGUUUAAACAUUGAGUUGGCGGAAAAUCUGAUAAAAUAGGCGAAACUGAACAGACUAAAACCUCAGUAUCUAAGAUUUGAGUUCUCUUUCACCCAUAUACCUGGACUAACCUGUUCAAGGCAGCAUAAUAGGUCACAGAAAAUUAAGUGGAAGGAAGAAGUGUGGUAGGAAAAGGUGCAGCAGCAACAGGGAGAUUUUCCCAGUAUCCCUGUUGUUUUAAGUUUCCACUCAGUGACGGUUUGGGUCGCCAUGUUCUCUGCUGGUUCUGGUUCACAGUCAGAACUGGACCUUUCAGAGUUCUUGACGCUGAUUUCAUUUCCCACCACGACUCGGUGAAAACCAGAGUUUACAGAAAUGUGUGAAAAAUGGCUUUUUAUGCUGAAUUAUUGGAAUAAAUCUGUUUAUUCAGCUUGAUUCUGAUUCACAGAGAGUUGAUCAUUUCUUACAGCUGAUGGUUUUCCUGCUUCUCUCCUUUAAUGGGUCCAGUGAGUCGGACUGCGGGUCGGCCCUGGCUGGGCGCCGGGCGCCAGCUGCAGCGCGGAGCGGGACCAGCCAGGCUCACAUCAGGCCAACCGCCUGCAGUCAGCGCCGCAUGGAGAUUCCUGCCGCAUUUUUCAGCUUCGCACCUCAGUGGAAACUUGAAAACUGCAGCUACUGUGAGACAAUGCAGAACCUUUCAAAGAUUUAUUGGAGAAACAACAAACCCCUUCCUUCCACCCAAACUGGAUCUAUAUUUGGAUCUCGUUUAAGAACACGUAACUCCCAGAUGAAGUCGCGCUGCCAGCUUGCAGCCCUUCGUCCCUCAGAUCUUCUUCUCACCUGAGCUGUGACACCUGUGAAGUCUGCCAGCCUCUAAAAACAGAGCUCCUCUGCUGGUUUGUUGUCUGCAGGGCGUUCACCUGCCUGACAGGAAGGGAAAAGAUUCAGCUCGCUCCUCCAGUUCAGCAGGAACAUCUCCGAGAACGGACGUAGAAGUUUAUUAUUAGCCAAUAAUUCGAGCAGCUGCAGCGAGGCAGUCAGUCUAUAUGAGAAAAUAUGGGAAAAUGAUGCAGUGUGUGUUUACCAUGAUUCGGUUUGCAGGACGAAUCCAAUAAAGAUGAUGAAGAAGUCUCA